GGGCACUAUGCUAGCUUUAGGGUCUAACUCAGCAGUGAGAACAUCAUGUCCACUCAGAUAUGAGAAUAGUUUGCCAGGCCACAUUUGAGCAUAACAAGAAGCAUUCUGGGAACUGUAGUUCAGUGACCACCUGGCUUAAAACUCCAUUUUCCUGUCGUUGGCUCCUCUCCUCCACUUCAGAAAAAGCAAUCCUUUCAGCAGGUAGAGAAAGAAAAUUGAAGAGGCUGUUUGACUAUGGACCGUCCAUUAGAGGGCAGCAGUGUCUGAGGACAGAGCUCACACAGCAGAUGAGAAACAGCAGAACUGAUGGAUUCCUUGGUUUGAUCUAGUUGGCAGUGACUAUGGCAGGAUAAGUGAAUUGCCAGAAGGGUUUGGAUGCCGUACAGUAAAUAACGCUUGGAGCCACAUAAUGAAUGAUGAAGAUAAAAAUAAAUAUUGGCUAUCCAUUCAGUGAGUGCUGUUCAACCUGUGCACAGAAAGAAGCAGUAGUCCUGUGGAAAAAAUAGAAUGUGAUAGUAAAAUUAAAAUCAGAAUACAUAUGCAUAAGGGUCCCAAAUUAAAGUUGUACUGGCAACCUUAA